GGGAUUAUAGCUCAGUGGUAGAGCACUUGCCUAGCAUUCAUGAGGCCUUGGGUUCAAUCCCCAGUACCACCA
rnacentral:tRNA from 1 species